UAAAAAGAUAUCUACAUAGAACUCUCUCUCCUUUCCCUCUCAGUAAAAAAAAGAACUCUCCUCCCAUACGAUCCCCACCAGGCACCUCAUACACAUCCGCCAUUUCUUCCAAUUUGCCGCCGGCGAAGGACGAUGUCGAUGUGCCCCAUUGGGAAACUAAUCCUCAUGCUAUCCCAGAUCCGCAUGUCGCUUCUUUUCUUCUGAUUUUUCUUCCUUGGUGGUGGCACAUGUGGCUGGGUGAGCGUGUGGAUCUCGGCGAACUCGUCGACCCUGGCAACGCGGUCACGGAGAUGUCCAGUGAGAACGCGGGUUGUGCUACUCAAAGUUGUCGUAGCCAGAGUUUCUAGAUGUUGGAGCUGCGAAGGCAUUGAGGGAGUUCGCGGAUGAAGAAAUAUAUGCAAGACGUGAGUAUCUUCUGCGAGUCGAUGUUAGUUGUUGCCCUCCUGCUGUCCAGACUUCUACCAAAUGUAAGUGUUAUUUGAACCAUAUAAGUUUUUUUAAGUUGAAUGAUAUAGAAAUCAGAAUAAGAUUUUAUCUUCCCGUUACUAAACAACUUUUCGUGUGAAAUCAAAAAUUAUACCAAAAAUUUCUGUGUGGAGAAGUGCACUUAUACUUGUUCUCUGAAUUCUGUAGUAGAGAACACAGUAAAGCAAACAUAUGGAUCUGCUGGAAUUAAGUCUAACUGAACCUAGCAACAGACCCUUGCAUUUAAUUAUUGAUUGACAGUAAAACAAAGGAAUUUUAGAUGCACUUUUACCGAUCUAGAUAACAGAAGCAUCAACUUAAUGUGAGACAUGCAUGCGUCUAGCUGCAGGUUAAGUUUUCAAGUUCAGCGAUUUAGGUGCGGCUAGUUUUGUUGUUGGCUUCUUGCGUCUUAAUUACCAUGUAGAGGCACUGCUAUAUGGUGAACAUACACAAUGUUAUAUGGUGCACACACAAAUGUAAGGCGUCUGAAUUAGCUACACAUAUAGUUUCUUAUCUUGAUUAUGGAAUCUUGUUGGCUAAUAUGGUUUCUGAGAAUCAUGUUUAUUAGAGUGGUUAUUAUUCAAAAAAACUUCUGCCCAUGCAGAAAGGAAGCUGCAUGUACACACUUGUUAACAUCUGUAUGCAUGAAAGCAGUGUAUGGAAAAAAUAAUAUGCAUUGCCAUGUUCUUACUAAGGUCAUGAUUUACCUCUUCCACAUCUCAUCUCUUAGUGUCUGGCUAUGUUUUUAUAUUGUUUUGGAAAAUUGCCGCCAUGAGAUCAAGUCUAAACAUUGUUCAGUCUCGCCUUAUCAUCUCGGUUCCUUCGCCUAAACAUGUUUUAAUUGCAUUCCUUGAUUACGACAAUACAGUUGCAAUCAUGCUUAUCUUUUGGUUAUUAAUUAGUAUGUAACUUGCUCAUCUAAGAAAAUGUAACUACUCAUUGAAAAUUGCUAAAUUAUCCUCUUAUUUUAAUUUACUGGAUUCUUUUUUAUGGACUUCAUAUAGAAUAUCUUUGAUUCUUUUCCAAACAUUUUUUAUUACAAAAUUAAUUUUAAAACCAAUUUUUGGGUGUUCACCAGAUACAAUGUUUUCUUAACUCAUCUAAUGCAGAUCCUGUACGAAUCUAUGGAUUUGAUAUUUCAAUUAGUUGGACGCUCAUCGCUUCUGUAUUCAAUGCGCGGUAGGUUGAUAAGUGUAUGUGAUAUUUUGAUGUGUUAGCUAUAGUAUUAUAGGUGUCUAUUUUCUUAUUUCUCAUGCAAGUAUGGAGAUAAGCGUGCAUACAUGUAUGCUAGCUUUCCUGUUUGCAUGCGUGCAUGUGAGAGUUGCAAAUUAGUGUUGAUUUUUUUUGCAAAAAUAAGAUUUGCAUUCAAUUAGAAUCCUAGAUAGACAGGGACACAUCUCUUCCAUGUACGGCAUACAUGUUCAGGGAAGACUCAUAUAUAUUUUCAUUAUUAUCCGAUAAGGCGUUUUUUAUUUGGUAUAGACCUUCUUGUGUUUUUUCUGCCAUGUAUGUGCUUUUUAUUCCCGAUAACAGACCUCUUGUAGUUUGCUCUUUCUAGUUGGUUUCCUUUUCUAACUAAUGUCUUUGUAUGCGUGUUGGACUCCCCUAUACGUGUGUUAUCUCACGGAAGUUGGUGUGCCUUUUCUUUUUGAGUUGAAGUUGGUGUGCUUUUUCUAACUAAAAUGUGUACGUAUGCAUGUUGGACUUCCCUGUACAUCCUCUCUAGGGAAAAAAAGAGAACUCCUUGUAGAUGUGUCAAUGAUCUACUGUGUACGUGCUCUAUGUCUUACGUAACCUUUUCAUCUUUAAAGCUCAUCCACUAUAAUAAGAAUCAAUGGAGUUUAUAUUUUUAAAUUAAUAUGUACCGAUUGAUUGUCGUCAUACAGAAAGGAAGCUACAUGUACAUACUUGUUAACAUUUGUAUGCAUGAAAGCACUGUAUGGCAAUAAUAAUAUGCAUUGUCAUGUUCUUACUAAGGUCAUGAUUUACAAAGAGAUCUUCUAAAAUUAGAAGAUCUCUUUGUAUACUAUAUAUAUUCUUUGCGCUAUCUUCGCUUGGGCACUCUAUGUCGUCAAUCAACACCUUUAAUCCUUCUGUGUAUGUGACUCUUGAUAAUGCCACAUAUAGUUGCCCAUGGAAGAUGACAUGCUUAGGCAAAUAUAAGCCCACCUUCUUUAGGGAUUGACAUUGGCUUUUAUUUAUGGUCAUUGCAAAAUAAACUGAUAGAGGAUAUUGCCUUCUUUUCGGCACGAAGGGCCACUUCAAGUCGCUUGGUGACAUAAUGAUUUCAGGAGCAUCACCUGCAAGCCUACCUUCAGUUUUAGCUCGUGGAUUGGAAUUCCUGGGAAGGUCAUGUUGUUGAGGAACUCUGCUAGACACAUAUUCUCCAUUGUGUUGUAAUUCAUUGUUGCCUUGCAUACAGUGUCCAAGUAUAGGAGCAAAGCUGCAAUGCCAGAUGAUACUACCGAAAUCACUUUCUUUCCUUCUGAUCGUAGCUUCGUUGUAAUUGCUUUCCAUAGGGUGUCCAUAGUAGAUUCUCCCAAUAGUGAAGCCCCUUUUCCGCUCCUCAGGUUUUGGUUUCGCUUUUCCAUACAAAUUUUGAUGGUAAUUCUGCAUAGGUUAAUUCUUUUCCCGCCUCAUGUAUUUUGUUUGCCUCCAUCCACUCAGUGAACUUAGUACUCGUGGAUCCUGGCCUUCUUACUAUCUUCUCUAUGUCAGUCGAGUCCGGAAAAAUAAGUUCUUGCUCAUUUUUAAUGUGGAAUGGUAGUCUCUCGACUGGUGGAUCAUGAUGGUGUAUAUCAAACAGGAAUGUUUGCCAGCAUGCUUCAGUUGUUGAUAUGUAUCUCAUCUCUAGGUAUUUCUUGAUGUCAUCAUAGUCAUUUGCCGCAUCUCUUCCCUUUAGCAAGGUUGUUACCUGGUCGUCAUCUUUAUGGAUGUUCUUAAAUAGGUAGGUACUUGAUUGACCUUGGCCUGUGGCACCACUUGACAUUUAUGUGAGCUUGGAAUUGGCCAAAAGGUUUCGGUUGUAGGGUACGACAAAUCUAUCGUUGAGCAUUGCUCCUCCCUUUUUGAUUUUCCUUCCAUUGUAUCGCCUUCUAUAUACUGGAAAGCCAUCCUCAUCGUUUGUGGUAUCGACAUUGUAUCCUUUUGGGAAGUGCUUAGUGCGUCUGUUGUCAAUCAUGCAUGAUGAUUUUGUAUUUGACACUCUGCAAGGCCCGUGCAUCAUGAAAUUUUCCACAGUUUCAUAUCCGUCCGGAUCGUCAUCUUUGUCUGGGAUCUCCGCACCGAUUAUUUGGUCGAUUUGUAAUGUUACUUUGCACGUGUAUCAUAUCUAGGCUAAUAAGCUCAUCGGUGGUAGGAUUGAAUGAAUCCCAUAUUCACAUUUGUUUUACUUGAAUGUUCCAGUGAUGUCCCCUUGUAUUUAAGUCGCUCAACUUGUUACAUGCCAUAGUGUUUUGCCUUGAAUAUUAAUAGGGAACAAUUUUUCAAUUGAUACAAUAUUUAUAAAGAUUAUAUCUAGAGAAAAUAAGACUGUUAAUAACAAUUACUAAAUUAUCUGAUGAUUCAGGCCAAAAGUGCUUUGGCGUCCCUUCGUCCGAUGUCGAUUGGAGUAGCUGGGCGUGGCUUCGUCAUGCGUUGAGCGUGCUUUGGCGUGACUUCAUCGGACGUCAAGUGAAGCGGCUGGAGGUGGCUGAGGUGGCUUUUCGUGUCGACGUCGAGUUGCCUAGUCGCGUGUGACGUCUUUGCUGACUUCUAAUUCUUUGGGUGUGUGCUUCUGCGGCUGGCUGUACUCAUUUAUAUAUGGGUGGAGGUGUGUGGGUUCAGGUGGUUGUGACCGUGGAGAAAGCAGAUCGGUCUUUUUUCGUGUCAUGGUUCCUGUUUUGGAAGUUUCUCAUGUGAGGUCUGGUUAGGUCCAAUCGUUGUCCUUAUUUGUUUAGGUUUCCUAUUAUUUUUUAUUCCUUAACCCAUUGAUUGAAAUAUAUUUUUUCUGUUUCUGCGGGCUAGUUGACGUUCGGAUGGAACC